GACACUAGAGAUGAGAUUGGUGAUAGCAAGGCUUGGUAAUAAUAACAGUGAUAAAUGUUGUGUGUCUUUGAUAGGAGCUGCACCAGGAAGUGAAUUGUUUCCGGAGAGAUACCAGCUGACACCAGGUGCCCAAGCCACAGUUUGCAGAAGGCAGCAAGAUGCUGCAAGGCACCAGAAGAUCCCAAACUCGUUCAAUUAGCAGAGAGCUGCAUCAUUAAAGGUGUUCUGUGCACUGGCCGGUCAUGAAACGAGGUGUUCGCAAACGCUGAUGCCCAGAGAAGGCAAUUACCUUGCCACGAGUUACGGGACUUCGGAGAUGGUUCACAGAUGUGCGCUGGAAAGCCUCUCCCUGGAAAUUAAAAGGUAGCCUGCUGAAUCCUGCACACAAACAGCCUUCCUUUGUGAGUCGAGUUAGCUUACUGCUAACACAGGCAGACGG